rnacentral:lncRNA from 1 species
AGAGUUGUCACAAAAGCAUUCACAACACAUUUAAAGUGGAGUGAUAUGCUUAACAUUUUCACAAUGCACAACUAUAUUGACAGUACCAACUAAGUCACGUCCUCCCAAAAUGACAAUGAUUUACCCUUAAGAAAGACGCCAACCAAUCCAUCAUUGGGAAAAUUCUUGCAUCACUUUGAGAAAUAACUACUCAGACUUCACCACAC